rnacentral:rRNA from 1 species
UACAGAGGGGGCAAGCGUUGCUCGGAAUUACUGGGCGUAAAGGGCGCGUAGGCGGCACUGUUAGUCAGGCGUGAAAGUCCUGGGCUCAACCUGGGAACUGCGCUUGAUACGGCAGAGCUAGAGGAUGGAAGAGGCUCGCGGAAUUCCCAGUGUAGAGGUGAAAUUCGUAGAUAUUGGGAAGAACACCGGUGGCGAAGGCGGCGAGCUGGUCCAUUACUGACGCUGAGGCGCGACAGCGUGGGGAGCAAACAGG